GGGGUGAUCAAAAAACCGCCCAACCCGCAUAAACCGCCCGCACCGCACCAAACCGCACCACAAAACGCGGUUUUUAAUUUUCGUGGUGCGGUUGCGGUUUGAUUUUUUCACAAACCGCGCGGUGUGGUGCGGGUUGCGGUUUGGCAUAUUGCUAGUGCGGUUUAAACCGCACCGCACCAUGGUAUUAUAAUAUAUAUAUUAAUAUAUUGGUGAUUGUCAAAUAAAAUAAAAUUAUAUAUAUAUAU
rnacentral:lncRNA from 1 species